AUCAUUUCUAUACUGUAUCCCCCCUUUUGUCUUUAGAAACAGAUCUUUGAAUCUAAUCAUCUCUGUUUAGCUUUAUCCCUGAUCAUGACCAGUAACAAUUUGUAACCAGUCCCUCCAAAUAAUGACAAACAUCCAUCCAUAACACAUUGAACAAUCAAAAAUCCAUCCACCUCACCUCUUGAGAAUGUGGGGAUUGUGUUCUCUAGACUGCUUCCUGUUGUUUGGUGGAUGAUAGCAUCUUUGGGGAGCCUUGAGAAAACAGGGAUAAUGGUCAAGUCCUGAGAAAAUUAUCUGGAUUAUUUUUUGUUUAGUCUCUGUUUAAUGGGAACAUGUAGAGCUUAUCUGAAGCCAUGGCAGGAGGCUGGACCAUCUCAGCUAGCAGCUUAGAAGUUGUUCUGGAUACAGAUUUUGGGGGAAACUGUAACAGAGACAUUCUGAGCAGCAGAGUAUCUGGUCUAUUUUUCUUUUUUGGUGUCUAGUCAUUUUCUUCUAAAAACAUACACAUUUUUAUAAGUAACAUACAUAUCUAUAUUAAUAGUGUGCAAAAGUCAACUAAAGAUUAGUUUUGUUCUAUGUUUGAUCAGGUAAAUAGCUCCUGUCAACUUUAUAAGUCUGUUUGGACUGAAUAAUCAAACUGUCAUGAGGACACUGUAGCCAACAAGAUUUAUCAGCUUUCAUCGAGUCUCUCAGCUAUCCCAAUAGUAGAGAUAUCAGCAUAUAUGUCACCUGCCUGUAGUCUUUUUGUUGUUUUUUUUUUUCCUUUUAUGUCUGUAGCCAAGAUUUUCAGGAAGUUUCCCCUGAUCAAAUCUAAUCUUUAUUAAUUUUGAAGAGAACCAUAACCUUUGUUUUCUGUGGAAAAGAGGCAUAAUCUCUCCCCCAAUGCAAUAUAUUUUCUGACUUACAUUUUGAACUUAAUACAUGUUAAAGAUAUAUAGGUUGAUUAAAUUUAGCAGUUUUCAUAAUCCAAUGUCUUUCAGCAGCUAUUACUUCUGGUUCAUUAGCAUUUAAAAAUUUAAAGUCAACAAGUAAUGUACAGGAUGCAGAUACCCUUCAUAUUUCCCAUCUUUACUCUCUCUUCAAAAAACUUAUUAUUUUUAAAAUAUUUUUUGACUUUCUUUACCCAUUUUUACAGUAUUUGCUUAAAAGUGUUUCUCAGUCUGGACCACUUUGCUGUGUUCCUGCAUUUUCAUUCUUUGACCAUUAUACAAAUCUAAAACUACUAUCAUAUGGUGUGCUGGCUCUACCCCUCUGUGUUCUGUGAGAGCCUACUCUCAUGUUGGUGGGUACCAACUCCAGAGCUGCAUUUAUCCACCACAGCUCUGGGAAUGUGUUGUUUCUGCCUGAAGCAGGAAGUUGUUCCCCUUGCUAGCUGCUCAAGUGCUUGGCUGUAUUGGCUUUACAGCAUGGUUUCUUAAAAGAGCCACACCUCUGUAUGCUGAGGCAGCCUAAGAGACCACUUUCUUCAGCCCUAUGUAAAUAUUUGAGGCCCUACAUUGGGCACCAUAUGUAACAAGUCUUUUUCUGUCUCAGCAACAAGCUCUCACCGUGACAUAUCUUUAUGCAAUCAAAUAUCUUAUAGCAGUUGCAUCCCUACUAUUUACAAAAUGAUUUACAGAACAUUUGUUUACAUUUUUUACAUUUAAUUCCGACCAAUAGGUGUAUAUUUGUUCAUUUAAAAAAGAAUAAAUUGUGCUAUUAAAACAUUAAAUUAUUUUAGGCAUAGAAAAAUGGGUUAUGAAUAAAGAAUAUUAUGCAUCUUGAAUAAUUGAUGUUAGUAGUAACAAAGACUAAGUGAGUAGAGGCAAAAUUUUGUUGACAUUUCUAGAUAAACCACUAUAAAUUUCAUUUAUGGUUUCAUCACCAGAGUCUCUGUUGGAAUGACACAGUAAACUGCUCUAGCCUCUAACUUUGUUUUAUCAAUAUAAAAUGCCCAAGGGACAUUCAACAUGGUAAUUUGCAGAGAGCUGAAUACAAUCUAUGCAAAAUAUUUGGUUAAGACUUUCAUAGCAUACUGGUGAGGACUGAUAAGAGUCUUACUGAAAUCCUGUCAUGCUGAGGAAACUGAGGCUUGGGGUGGAAAGAUGAUACUGGGGUUAAUGAGGGAAGGUCAGGGCACUUCUUAUGCCUGACCUAGAAACUUUAGUGCCCUGCCGUACACCUUCCAGCUCAGAGCUAUGUUUUCUCAAAUACAAAGCACCUGACAGGCUCCUAGGCCCUUUCAGGGGAAAUGAGUCUGUGAAUGGGUGAUUUAUGGCCUCAAUAAUGGUUAGCUUUAAAAUGCUCAAGGAAAGGGUACAGACCAUUCUAGGUACCACAUGACAGGGAUGAAGGGUCUAUUUAUAUCUAGAUAACAUGGCUCUUCCAUAAGAAGAGGAAAUGAGAGAGGAUGAUUCAGGAAACCUGUGGAGAUAUUAGGGGCAUAGGCAAAUACUCCUGUUGGGUGUAUUUACUUUGCCUCAUAGUAAUAGAAGGCAUACACUCACCCAGACUGGAAAAGCACACUGGCAGCAGAGUGCAAAUCAAUUUCUUUUGCCAGGAUGAACAUACCCAAAUCAGUUUUAUUAUUUUAAAACAGAAGAGUUUUAAACAAACCAACAAUAGCAACACAAAAAUAGGAAUAAUAAUGAUAACAAAUAAAAACUAAAUGCAUUAUUGUUUAAAGAUGCUAACAAAUUACUAUUAACUGAAAAGAACCAAGGUGUACAAUAAUCUAUGUGGCAUCUUAUCAUUUAUAUUUGAAGUUAUAUAUGUAUCUAUAUGAAUCCACGUAUAUUUUAUUAUACAUUAAUUAUUGUGUAUGACCCUAUUGUAAAAGGUCUCAAAUGAUAUAUGCUUUAGUAGUAGUUCUGAAGUUGGUAAUAUGCUUUGUGAAAAUAUGUGCCAAUGUUUAGAAGUGUUUUUGUCAUCUCAGCUUGGGAAAAGUAUAGUGCUAGAACACAAGGCUGCUAUGAAACAUCCCCAGAACAGGCCCAAACAAGUAAUUAUCUCAACUGGUGUGUCAAUAUUUCUGAGAGUGACAAAGCCUGCUCACAAUUGGUAGCAGUGUGUUUCUCUGGAGAGGUGAGUGGGAACCUGGCUUCCGCGUACUGUGCAUCAAUAAAAGAUCCCAUUUGUGCUGUUUGUACUUCUCCAUGAGAGAACAUGUAUUAAUACGAGUAUUUAUUUGAAUGCAUCUUAAAUUACAGCAGCGGGCUAAAUAUUGAUAAAUUUACCUGCAAAUAAUUAUCAUAAGAAAUUCAUGCAGCAAGGCAGUGAUUAGUGGUAUAAAAUGUUGGGUGCGAUCUGUAUGAGAAGUCAUGCAAGCAGAAUUAUACUUUUUAAGACUGAGCAGCAAUUGAUGAAAUGUUAAGGGGAAAGUCUGCUAAUUUUAUUUAUUGUAUUUGUUUAGUUUUAUGAAGAAUACUGAUGAAUUUGGAAAGUUAAGGACAAAUUGAUUUUCUAUAUAAUUUUUUGAUUGAAAGGAUUGUGAAUUUCUGUCAAAAAUCUUUUUUGAGACAGUGUUUCUCUGUAGCUUUGGAGACUAUCCUGGAACUCACUCAGUAUACCAGGCUGGGCUCAAACUCACUGAGAUCUGCCUGUCUCUGCCUCCUGAGUGCUGGGAUUAAAGGCAUGCGCCACCACUGCCUAGGCCAAAUUACUGUCAAAAUCUUGGUAUUCUGUUGUGUAUAGUAUACUGGUCCUGGGAAACUACCUUUGUUGGAAUCUUCAAAUUUGAUAAUUACAUGCUCAGGUACAUUGUGACUUCUAAUUGUGCAUGUGCUCUUUAAACUGUAUACUUGAGUGUUUUCAGUGCUGAGUCAUCUCACAGACCAUAUGUCACUUUAUUUUUUUUUCUUGUUUAGGAACUAUUGAUAACAAAUGAAAAGUCAGAGAAAACAGUGAAAUAAAUAUGUAUGUAGAUGCUAGCUAGAAUGAACAGAUGUUCAUCAGCUGCUGCUAACUUCUAAUUUCAGUCCCUUUCAUUUUUCAUUCUCUUAAAGAAAAUAUACAAUUACCAAUAAGCCUGAAAACCCACUUAUUCCCAUAUCCUCCCCAGAAAUAACACUUGUUCUAAUGUUUGUAUUCUUUCAUAAUAUACAUCUGUCCAUAAUAAAGAAAAAUACUUAAGUACCAUUUGGUUUGAAAGUUCAGGUGAAUUGUUUUUCCCUCUGAGUGUUUGUUUUUAAGGACCAGAGUUAUUCAUGCAAACAAAAAUGAUUCAAUUUACUUCAGUUGCUACACAUAUCAUAUCCUAUCAGCAGAAUAACCUUACCCAACAGAUUCAUUUUACUUUAAUUUGUUCCCUUUAACAUGUGUAUUCAUGUACACAUACACAGGGUGUAUAGUGUGUGUGUGUGUGUGUGUGUGUGUGUGUGUGUGUGUGUGUGUGUGUGUGUGUGUGUAUGCAUGUGCAAACAUGCACAGAUGUGGAGUCUGGUGGCCAGAAUUCAUUCAGCAUCUUCCUUAGUUACUAAUCACCUUAUUUUUUAGACAGAUUCUCUUAUGGAAUUUGGAAACCAUGUACUAACUGAGCUAGACUGGGUGGUCAAUGAUAUUCAGGCAUUUGUCUCAGCCUCUCCAGUCCUGGGAUUGAAGAUGUGUGCCAUCAUGCUUAGCUACUAUGUGUAUGUUGGGUAUCCAGAGUUAGGUGACGGUCUUGCUCAAUGAACAAACAUUUUACCAAAUGAGCCAACUCCCCAGAACUCCUUGCAAGUGUAUGAAGCCAUAAUCAGCACCUCUCACUGUUCCCAUGGCUAUUUGAAUGGAAGUUCUUCAAGGCAAAUACUUCCAGCAAUGAAAUAUCUUAACCUGCAGGUAUUAAUAGUCUCAAUAUCCAAUAAACAUCUACUCUUCAGAGUAUUUUAACUAGAUUAUUUGGGUGUGAAUUCUCAGGUAUCUUGUUCCUGACAAAAAAUUGGUCCCUUAAGACCUUUAGCAGUAUAUUCUGGUUGGCAGGAAAUUGCACACCAUUUGUAUUUUAUAGAUUACUAGUGAUUGUUCAAUUUUAAGUAUUUUAAUUU
ensembl:lncRNA